rnacentral:rRNA from 1 species
AGCUCCAAUAGCGUAUAUUAAAGUUGCUGCAGUUAAAAAGCUCGUAGUUGGAUCUUGGGAGCGGGCGGGCGGUCCGCCGCGAGGCGAGCCACCGCCCGUCCCCGCCCCUUGCCUCUCGGCGCCCCCUCGAUGCUCUUAGCUGAGUGUCCCGCGGGGCCCGAAGCGUUUACUUUGAAAAAAUUAGAGUGUUCAAAGCAGGCCCGAGCCGCCUGGAUACCGCAGCUAGGAAUAAUGGAAUAGGACCGCGGUUCUAUUUUGUUGGUUUUCGGAACUGAGGCCAUGAUUAAGAGGGACGGCCGGGGGCAUUCGUAUUGCGCCGCUAGAGGUGAAAUUCUUGGACCGGCGCAAGACGGACCAGAGCGAAAGCAUUUGCCAAGAAUGUUUUCAUUAAUCAAGAACG